UUAAGAGCUUGUUUGUGGUUUUCUGAAACAUGAGACCUCUUUGCUGUUUUCCGUGUGUGUAGUGGAGGUUCAUAGGGAGCAGUGAGCUCAGUCGGUGAUGUCAGAAGUGGGCAGGUCUGUUUUGUAUUGGCUGUAAUGUAAUUGUCCGUAGCCUAUUCAGCUUCACUGUCUCAGAAGCUAUACGAAGGUGGCAUGUCUGCACAGUGGCUCAAAGUUACCCUCCCACCUGAACCACAGAACUUUGAACAGAUAGAGCAGUCUCUUCAUCGCUCCAUCUCAGUCCAUGGCAACUGUAGUGCCUUUUGCGUCCUGUUAUGGAAACAGCACUCUCCAUCAGCCUCUCCAACUCUUUGGGAAGGGCCCUAAGUGUGGCUACAUGUCCCUCAUCGCCUACCGUAGCCCUCGUAAUGUCCCCCGCCCGCGUUUGGCAUGCAAUGCCCCUAAAUUGACUCUAUGUCAGAUCUGCAGAAUGCUGCGUGUGAUGCGUUUUGAGGCUGCUACUGCAGCCAACAACAGGAAGCAAGCAUCUUCUCCACCACCACCUAGCUCUCCGGCCAAGUCAAACAGGAGAUGUCUGCCUUCCUGCUUUCGCCACAGACGUAAUACUAGUAACAUAAAGAGUUUUGGAUGAUAAUGGAUCCCAAGAGCCCACCCCUACCCUUCCAACAAUCCUUACCCAGCCGAUGGGAGUUCCCUUCACGUUUCCACACAAACCCGUACAGAGAAGCACAGACUCCAUGUCCCCAUGCUUCGUUUGUUGGGGGUAGGGGGGGGCACUCCUGAGACAAAGAAAACAUGUAUUUUGUGUACCAGUGACUGACAGACUCAGCUUCAACCACACCGAUUUAUUUUGUCUUGUGCGUAAUUUCAAAAGGUGAGACUCUGCUCACUGCAAAGGUCAGCCGGUAAUUAAACCUGUGGAAUGUUUCUAGGGGUCAGGAAAGGAGACCAAACUGUUUUUGGGGGUUUGGGUGUUGGGUUGUUUUCUUUUUUAGGUGUUUAAUUCUGGGUGUACAUUGCUAAACGGAAAGUGUAAUUGACUGACAUUGGCACUGUGAAAACCUGUAUUGGAUUUCUACUGUGGUUUCUUUAUUACAGUUUUGACUAUUUCAAUCAACUUAACUCCUCGUCUGUCGCAUUGGGCUGAUGUAAUAUUACGUGUUUGUUUGUUGUGUAAAUGUAAUCAAAUAGAUGACUGUCCAUUGAAGUGUAGACUCUGAGUUACAUGGUGGUAACAAAGACAGACCCAGUAGUUACAAUGGAACACACAUAGUACUUAGCACUUGCAUACCUGUUUGUGGCAGACAUCAUUUCAAGCAUUUGCCAAUUAAUUCCAAAUGGAGAUACGUAAUCAAAACAUUACAGUAAUUACUGACUUGGAGGUAGUUCUACUUACUUAGUUCUUGUCUAUCUCGUUCCACCCCAUGCCACAUCUUUUGGUAUCUGCUGCUAGCUCCCGCCUCCGGGUAUUUCGUGGACGCCCUGUUUUCCAUUUUCCUUAAGGGUUCCAGGAUAGAGCUGGAGGGAAGUUCAGGAACAAACAUAAUGAUGGAAAAAAACAUGAUGAAUUGUUUUGCAGUUGAGGUUCCAUUGUUUAAUUGAGUAAAUUAUUCCAAAAGACUCAUAUGAAUGAUCCUCAGGCAAAUUAAAGGCAGAGAGACACAAAGAAAGGGGAAGAA
ensembl:lncRNA